GACGAACGCUGGCGGCGUGCUUAACACAUGCAAGUCGAACGAAGAGCGAUGGAAGCUUGCUUCUAUCAAUCUUAGUGGCGAACGGGUGAGUAACGCGUAAUCAACCUGCCCUUCAGAGGGGGACAACAGUUGGAAACGACUGCUAAUACCGCAUACGAUCUGACCUCGGCAUCGAGGAUAGAUGAAAGGUGGCCUCUACAUGUAAGCUAUCACUGAAGGAGGGGAUUGCGUCUGAUUAGCUAGUUGGAGGGGUAACGGCCCACCAAGGCGAUGAUCAGUAGCCGGUCUGAGAGGAUGAACGGCCACAUUGGGACUGAGACACGGCCCAGACUCCUACGGGAGGCAGCAGUGGGGAAUCUUCCGCAAUGGACGAAAGUCUGACGGAGCAACGCCGCGUGAGUGAUGACGGCCUUCGGGUUGUAAAGCUCUGUUAAUCGGGACGAAAGGCCUUUUUGCGAAUAGUGAGAGGGAUUGACGGUACCGGAAGAGAAAGCCACGGCUAACUACGUG
rnacentral:rRNA from 1 species